rnacentral:tRNA from 1 species
CCGCGAUGGCGUAGGCGCGCGCGGCGUCGCCCGCCUCGAGCGUCGAGCGCGCGACGAUGCGGCGCUCGUUCCACCAGGCGUCGCCGUC